AUCUAUCACUCAAGAACAUUAUACGAAAAGAUUUGAAGAACUGAGAGCCAGUGAACAUGUCAAGGUUGUAACAUAGACACGAGUCUCUAUGUAAAACCAUUAACACGCGAUAUUAUCUAAAGUAGCUUGCUCUUGUAGCAUCUUUAUCAACUUCCAACGCCAAAUUGUAUGACUAACACAUAAGGCAGCUGCUACAUACUCGACUUUACAAGUUAAGAAAGGAACCGAAAAAAGAAAAAGAGAAAAAACAAGAGAAUAUCAUCAUAGGUUGCUUCUUAAGCACCAAAGUGAAUGUCAUUACUGAUAAAGAAAUGGACCUUGGGCCUAACUCAACCUCAAAAGCUAGUUCAUGAGGGGAGGAUUGCCCAAGACCAUAUAAGGAGACCAAGGACCCUUUAACCCACCGAUGUGGGACUCCAACACCCCACGCACGCCCAGGGUGGACAUCUGGAGCGUGGACAAUAUAAGACGGGGGUCCCAACAUUGAAAACAGUGAGCGUGGACAAUAUAAGAUGGGGGGCCCAACAUCGGAAACAAUGAACUGGUUGGGCCUGACUUUGAUACCAUGAUAAAGAAAUGGACCUUGGGACUAACUCAACCUCAAAAGCUAGCUCAUGAGGGGAGGAUUGCCCAAGACCAUAUAAGGAGACCAAGGAUCCUUUAACCCACCGAUGUGGGACUCCAACAAUUACUCUAAAAGAAAAGAUUGCAGUGUGAAGCAUCGUAGCGAUGCGUAGGGUCGGGGGAAGACGGCCAUACCACAGGGGUCUAUUGUACGUGGCCUUAUCCUGCAUUUCUGCAAGAGUCUGCAUUAUAAAGCAUUGAAUUUAUAAUACAAAGAGAUUUUGGUAAAACUUGAUUUUGCUGCCAUGUGACCAGGAAGUCACGGGUUCAAGCCUUGGAAACAGCCUCUGGCAGAAAUGAAAGGUAAGGCUGCAUACAAUACACCCUUGUGGUGGGGCCCUUCCCCAUAUGCUGUGCAUAGCGGGAGCUUUAGUUCACCGGAAUGCCUUUCUAUCAUUUUCAAUUAGUUAGUCUUGUUUGUGUUGGAAAAAAGAGUCAUGACAAGAAGAUCUUAAAUAGUAAAAAGAUGUUUUUAUUCAUUUUGUUUUUUCUUUACAAAUUCCUUUCUUCUGAUCAAAGCAAACAAUAAGUACCUUUCUUUUGAUCAAAGGCAAAGAUAUGUGUGGUGUUCAGAAUAUUUCUAUGUAAUACUUCAUCCGAAGAAAGCAAAGAACUCACUGGCAAACCAAAUAAAAGAAACGAAAUGGAUCCAACCUUGUACAAUGCCGCGGUGGAAGGUGUUAGAGUGGGUAAAGUCUCACAUUGGUUGGGGAAUGGACUGGUAGUUGGCUUAUAUGGACUUGGGUAAUCCUCACCUCUUGAGUUAGCUUUUGAGGUUGAGUUAGGCCGAAGGUCCAUUUCUUGACGUGGUAUCAGAGCCAGGUCCAUCCCCGUUUUGGGCUCCCGGUCCACGCGCCAGUGCCAGUUGGGCCUGGGCGUGAGGGGGGUGUUAGAGUGGGUAAAAAUCCCACAUUGGUUGGGAAAUGGACAAGUGGUUUGCUUAUAUGGACUUGAGUAAUCCUCACCUCUUGGAGACAGGUUCAUCCCCGUUUUGGGCUCCCGGUCCACGCGCCAGUGCCAGUUGGGCCUGGGCGUGAGGGGGGUGUUAGAGUGGGUAAAGUCCCACAUUGGUUGGGGAAUGGACUGGUAGUUUGCUUAUAUGGACUUGGGUAAUCCUCACCUCUUGAGCUAGCUUUUGAGGUUGAGUUAGGCCCAAGGUCCAUUUCUUGACAUGGUAUCAGAGCCAGGUCUAUCCCCGUUUUGGGCUCCCGAUCCACGCGCCAGUGCCUUUUGGGUCUGGGUGUGAGGGGGGUGUUAGAGUGGGUAAAAGUCUCACAUUGGUUGGGGAAUGGACUAGUAGUUUGCUUAUAUGGACUUGGAUAAUCCUCCCCUCUUGAGCUAGCUUUUGAGGUUGAGUUAGGCCCAAGGUCCAUUCUUGACAGAAGACAAUAUCAGUAAUGGUGAUUUUUCACUUGCUGAAUAUCUGAAAAGGGAUGAAGAAAAUGAGUACCAAGUCACUCCAAUGGGCAACACAAUCUUACACAUGGCAGCUAAUUAUGGCCGCUCACAUUUCGUUGCAGAAGCCUUUAAGAUUAGUCCGGCAUUGUUAUGCCAUCGGAACAAGAAGAAUGAGACUGCGCUUCACGUAGCAGCUAAUGAAGGUCACAUCGAAGUAGUCCACUUGCUACUUAGUAUAGAUGAGCAUCAUAAGGAGACGCUCAUGAGGAUGGCAGAUGAUAAUGGAGAUAAGGGUGAUUUUUCACUUGCUGAAUAUCUGAAAAGGGAUGAAGAAAAUGAGUACCAAGUCACUCCAACAGGCAACACAAUCUUACACGUGGCAGCCCAUUAUGGCCGCUCACAUUUCGUUGCAGAAGCCCUUAAGAUUAGUCCGGCAUUGUUAUGCCAUUGGAACAAUAAGAAUGAGACUGCGCUUCACGUAGCAGCUAAUGAAGGUCACAUCGAAGUAGUCCACUUGCUACUUAGUAUAGAUGAGCAUCAUAAGGAGACGCUCAUGAGGAUGGCAGAUGAUAAUGGAGAUACAGCGCUGCACAAGGCUGUGAGGAGCCGACAUCAAGAUGUAGCUAGACUGUUGGUGAAAGAAGAUCCUGAAUUCGAAUUUCCAUUCAACAAGGCGCGUGAGACACCAAUGUAUCUGGCAGCUGAGUCUGGUCUUCGUGAAGCUUUGGUUGAAAUCUUGAACUCCUGCAAGCAACCAACUUCUUCUGCAGGUCCAUUAAAUCGAACACCUCUGCAUGCAGCGGUAAUUCAAGAGCACACGGGUAUGUACAUACUUUUUUGCCGUUACUCUCUCUAUAUUAACAUCUCUUUUCGAUUUUGGUUACUAUCUGUUGUUUCUUGUACUUCAACUAACGUAUUAUUUUGUUGUAGUGCUGUUUUGUUUUUGACUGUUUUUUCUUUCACUGAGAGUCUAUCGGAAAUAGCCUCUCUACCUAUGAGGUAGUGGUAAGGUCUGUGUACACUCUACCCUUCCCCAGACCCACUUAGAAACUACACUAGGGAGUCUAAAUUUGCGUUGAUUUAACUCCCUAUCAUCAUCAUAUUUGACGCAUGCAUCCAGAUUGCGCGAGAUUGCUGAUGCAAAAUCUUUGUGUGAGGAACCUGACAUGGGGGGUUGCAAUUCGCUGCACUUUGCUGCUCUUUUAGGAUUGAAAGAAGUAGUUUCCGAUAUGCUCGGGUGUAAAAGAUCCUCAGUCUACCUUCCCGCAGGCAGUGAAAAUGACUGGACAACAGAAAUUCACAUUGCAGCCGGUGCAGGUAAGGUAGACGCUGUACAUGAGCUGUUAAAUCACUGCCCUGAUUGCUGGGAAAUGCUCGAAAGCAACGGACGAAAUGCUCUUCACGAUGCCAUAUUAUACAGUCAAGCAAAUGUGGUCAGUUACUUACUGAAGCCCAGAAAGUGGGAUAAGCUUGUCGAGGAUCCAGACAAUGAUGGCAACACUCCUCUCCAUUUGCUUGCUUCCUCUAAUUUCUGGGGCUAUGUGCCUUUGGAAUUAAAAAACCAUCCCCGAGCAAAGAAGAUGUCAUACAACAAGGAAAACAAGACACCUUUUGACGUAGCAGUGUCUUGCACAGAGUGGACGGCAGACAAGGAUAGAAUCGCGCCCAGCUUGUAUAACGAUUUCCUUAAUUCCAUUGCUCAAUUGGGACGCCGUGUACUCAAGCAGAACCAGCUGGAUUGGCAGAAGAUAAUUUUCAACCAAGCGAAGGAACGCGACAUAAACAUCAAAGCUGGUUUUACAUUACCGGGAGGAUUUGAAAGCAAUGACAAUAGCCCUAAUAAGGGGAUGGCAGUCCUAAUAAAAAAAGCAUCGUUCUGUGCAUUUGUUAUGACAGAUGCAAUCGCCUUUGCAUGCUCCGCUGGGGCUAUAUUCAGCUACUUCUAUAUGGCGACAAAUCCUCGUCCAAUGUCUUAUCAGGAUUUGGGUUAUUAGUGGUCUCUCAGUAAAGUUGGAGCUAGGGCGCAGCUCGUGUCAAUGUCUGCAGUUGUAACUGGUAUGUAUGCUACUUAGCACAUUCAGUUGGCCUCGCUGUUACUGUCCGUGCCAUCGGUUGCAUCUCUUUCAUUAUGUACGUGUGGGCAGUUCUGAGGCCAGUAUGCUGGAUACGUGUAGCAAAAAAGUAAUAUUAAUGUAUAUGUACAAAAAGUAUUUUUGACAUGUAUACUUCGUGUAAUUUUCUAUAUACAUGAUAUAAACUUUCGACAAAGGAUGCUCUUUACUGCGUGUGGGUCAUGUAUCUUCUUAAAAGAGAAGUGUAGAGAGAGACACAAGUUUCAAGUCCAACUUCUGCACCUCGACUAAUUCUA